rnacentral:rRNA from 1 species
UACGGAAGGCAGCAGUGGGGAAUAUUGCACAAUGGGCGCAAGCCUGAUGCAGCCAUGCCGCGUGUAUGAAGAAGGCCUUCGGGUUGUAAAGUACUUUCAGUCGUGAGGAAGGUGUUAAGGUUAAUAACCUUAGCAAUUGACGUUAGCGACAGAAGAAGCACCGGCUAACUCCGUGCCAGCAGCCGCGGUAAUACGGAGGGUGCGAGCGUUAAUCGGAAUUACUGGGCGUAAAGGGCACGCAGGCGGUUAAUUAAGUUGGAUGUGAAAUCCCCGGGCUUAACCUGGGAAUGGCAUUCAAGACUGGUUAGCUAGAGUCUUGUAGAGGGGGUAGAAUUCCAUGUGUAGCGGUGAAAUGCGUAGAGAUGUGGAGGAUACCGGUGGCGAAGGCGGCCCCUGGGACAAAGGACUGACGCUCAUGUGCGAAAGCGUGGGGAGCGAAACAGGGAUUAGAU